rnacentral:rRNA from 1 species
UUUAAUUGAAGAGUUUGAUCAUGGCUCAGAUUGAACGCUGGCGGCAGGCCUAACACAUGCAAGUCGAGCGGUAACAGAGAGUAGCUUGCUACUAUG